AGAGUUCGAUCCUGGCUCAGGAUGAACGCUGGCGGCGUGCCUAACACAUGCAAGUCGAACGGAGUCCAGCCUUUAAGACCUUCGGGUCAAAGAGGGGAAGACUGAGUGGCGGACGGGUGAGUAACACGUGGGCAACCUGGCUCAUAGAGGGGGAUAACAGAGAGAAAUUUCUGCUAAUACCGCAUAAGCACACACUGCCGCAUGGCAGAGGGUGAAAAGAGAAUCGCUAUGAGAUGGACCCGCGUCUGAUUAGCCAGUUGGCAGGGUAAGAGCCUACCAAAGCGACGAUCAGUAGCCGAUCUGAGAGGAUGAACGGCCACAUUGGGACUGAGACACGGCCCAAACUCCUACGGGAGGCAGCAGUGGGGAAUAUUGCACAAUGGGGGAAACCCUGAUGCAGCGACGCCGCGUGAGUGAAGAAGUAUUUCGGUAUGUAAAGCUCUAUCAGCAGGGAAGAUAAUGACAGUACCUGAAUAAGAAGCCCCGGCUAACUACGUGCCAGCAGCCGCGGUAAUACGUAGGGGGCAAGCGUUAUCCGGAUUUACUGGGUGUAAAGGGAGCGUAGACGGAAUGGCAAGUCUGAAGUGAAAUGCCCGGGCUCAACCCGGGAACUGCUUUGGAAACUGUCGAUCUGGAGUGUUGGAGAGGUAAGUGGAAUUCCUGGUGUAGCGGUGAAAUGCGUAGAGAUCAGGAAGAACACCGGAGGCGAAGGCGGCUUACUGGACAAAGACUGACGUUGAGGCUCGAAAGCGUGGGAAGCAAACAGGAUUAGAUACCCUGGUAGUCCACGCCGUAAACGAUGAAUACUAGGUGUCGGUCUCCGAAGGAGAUCGGUGCCGACGCAAACGCAAUAAGUAUUCCACCUGGGGAGUACGUUCGCAAGAAUGAAACUCAAAGGAAUUGACG
rnacentral:rRNA from 1 species